AUGGAGCCGGACAAUGCCCUGUACUCCAAACUCAAAACAGCUGGAGUUGGGGGGAGAACUCUGAUACUCUGGACUAUUCUCUAUUGUACCUGUUUCCUGGGGCUAGCUCAAGCACACCCUGAAGGUGAGGUUUCAUUAUUUCAUUCUGAAGUAAGGAUUCAGAAAUCCAAUCAUGUAUUUUUAUUGAGUUUUAUUAUAGCUGUACAGCAGAACAUUGUAUUGCGUAUUGUCAGUGUCAAAUUGGUACAGCCUAGUAAAAACACACUUGGAAAGUGCUGGGGCAAAACGUGUAUGAUUUACAGUAAUGUAAAGGGGUGAAAUGUGGACUGUAAAAUGUAUCAUAACCCAGCUGAAACAGCUUUACUUCAUUCAAUCCUUCCAAACAUAAGUCCUUUAUCCUUUAACGUGUUUCGUGAAGUUGAGGAUUAACUGUGACAGGGGUCUAUCUAUGUAUCUAUGUAUCUAUUUAUCUAUCUAUCUAUGCAUCUAUCUAUGUAUCUAUGUAUCUAUGUAUCUAUCUAUCUAUCUAUCUAUCUAUCUAUCUAUCUAUCUAUCUAUCUAUCUAUCUAUCUAUCUGUCUGUCUGUCUGUCUGUCUGUCUGUCUGUCUGUCUGUCUGUCUGUCUGUCUGUCUGUCUGUCUGUCUGUCUGUCUGUCUGUCUGUCUGUCUGUCUGUCUGGCUGGCUGGCUGUCUGUCUGUCUGUCUGUCUGUCCAGAGGCUCAGCUGAAGCAUGUUUAUUCUGAGAGAGGCAACAAUCCUUUCUCCAACAGUAGUUGCUAUCUCCUUUACUUCUUUUUGGUGUGGAAGUGAAGAGAUUGUGGAGACAAAACGCUCUCUGUUCUAUUGUGGGAGUGGGAGAUGUGUACUGAAGAUUCUACGGGGAUUGCAUCUUCUGAAUCUUCUGAUAUCCUUCCCUCUUCGGUCUCUGAUGCAACGGCUGCGUUUACUGUGGAACUCUGCCAAGAUGUUCUAAUAAAGGAUGUUUGUGAAGAUCUGGAUGUAAUAGGGUCAAACCUAGAGUUUUGGCAUUCACUGUCCCCCUUCCUAUAACAGACUACUUACUCCUAUUAUGUUAUUACAUUUCAUCUUGUAUCUAGCAGACUGUAAAAUAAUCUCUCAGAACCAUUAUACAGAUAAUUGUAAGCUACAGUAUCAUAUUCUGCUGAUGAAGUAAGUUUUUGUUCUUGUCUUCAAGUUCAGCUUCAGUUUGAUGUCCUUUCCAUGUGUAGGGAGGUCUGUCCAGUGAUCAUGCCCUCCCUGCCUCCCACUUGCCUGCACAUAGAAAUGUCACAAAUGCCACCCUACUCCCUAUAUAGUGCACCACUACGGGCCCUGGUCAAAAGUAGUGCUUCACAUAGGGAAUAGGUUGUCAUUUGGGACGCUGCAUAAUGUACAGCCCACCCCCUUCCUUCCCCCCUAACAUGACUUAUGGCUCAACAGCCCUUAGGAAUCAUAGCUGCAGUGUCUUGUACUGUUCUGUAUUUCCUCUCUAUUGUAGCACUAUAAUUCAACUCAGUGUUUAGUUGACUGUUGCCCACAUUUGUUUUGCAUUAGCCAAGGGGAAGUUGUACUUUCACAUCUGAAGCCAUGUACUGUAGUCUUUAUGUGGGUCACAAAGAGAAUUAAUCGUUUCAACCACCUUACUUCAACCUGGUGCAGAGAGUGAAACAUUUUGUUUGGGAGACAGAUACAGAGAUGGGGAGAUUGAUGAGAAAGAUAUAUCACAGAAAGUGAUUGGCAUAAACAGCAGUCAAACUACUCCCUCCAGGGACAAUGUGUGGUUUAGGGGCGGCAGCGCUACCUCUAGACCAAGCUGCAGAAACAGGGGGUUGUUUUAAUGCUGAUCUAAGAAGUUUUAAACACCAGAUUCAGACUUUAUUGGCCUCAAACAGCAUGGUACAACCACUGUACCUGGUGGUAACCAGAUGGCUUAUUACGGUACCAUAUUUCAGCUACAUUACUGCAUGUUAGACAGAGAUGAUGGAGAGAUGAUUUGUAUAAAGCAAUACACCAUUUACUGUAGGUGAGCCAUACACCGUUAAAAGUGUUUUGUAACACUACAACUAGUGGCAACUGAGCUGCCACCAAUGUUAAGGAGACAAAACCUUAACUUUGCUAGUUGUUAAAACUCAUAAUCCUGAAAUGUUCUGGAACAUGACAUGGUGUUGUAACACCACUUAAUCAAGAGUUGUGCAAUACCUUCCCAGAGAUUGGGAAAGCUACUGGAAAAUGUUGAAAACACUAUUAUGGUGUUUCAAAUCCUGUCCAGUGCAGAAUUACAUCCCUUCUUCUGGAGUUUUCAAAUACUGUAAAUGGGAGUCCCUUCUCUUAUUUCGUAUUCCCCGCUCUUAUAUGGUGUGUCACGCCGUGUGUGUUGAUAAACUCCUCAUUGGUAACACCAAAAGGUCAAAGGUUAAGUAUUAUUCUCAAAUAAAAGACACCAGAAAAGAUCGCUCUAUGAAAAUGCAAAUGAAUAAGAUUGUCCAAGAGAAUAAUGAAUGAGUGCAUGACUUUUUCAAGACCUGAUUUUAAUGCAUCAAAUGCUUUAUUUUUUCUUUGCAAAUUAUCCAAUGACAACAAAACAUUAACAGGUCUUUCACAUGGUAUAUUGAUAAAGUAAGACAGUUCUAAGAUCCGUAAGGUAUUUAUCAUAUUCUUCAAAAUCAAGAGAAUAUGACAGUGGAGACUGCUGAGGGGAGGACGGCUCAUAAUAAUGGCUGGAGCGGAGUAAAUGGAAUGGCAUCAAACCAUGUGUUUGAUACCAUUCCACUGAUUCCGCUCCAGCCAUUACCACGAGCCCGUCUUCCCCAAUUAUGGUGCCACCAACCUCCUGUGAUGACAGAGUACCACAGUAUGAGUCAUAAUACCCAUAACACCUAGCGGUCAAACAAGAAAAAAUGGAUCCAAUUGUUUUUCCACCAUUCAUUUUCCCAACAGGGGAUUUAAGUAACACUUAAAAUAAGGGCUGCGUUUUGUGUAGGCUUACCCUGUCGUGACAUUUUGAUAACCGUGUAAAUCUCUCUAGGACAAGCUAACUUUUCUCAAUAUAUUCAGCUGUAUUUCCCCCCUAGAAACGAAAUGCUAAUUAGCUGCUAAUGUGGCUAUCAUAAUGAACUACAAAUGCCAUGAUGAUCUGGACGAGACUGCCAAAUCGAGGCAAAGGUUAGAAUCCCUGGAUUAUCUAUCUAAUGUCAGCUAAAUUUAGUAAUGAAUACAUUGGCUACAUUUCUUUAACCCUCCUGCUGUGUUCCGGUCGAAUUGGACCGAAGUUUUCUCUCUAAAAAAAUGUAGUUCAUUUUAUCUGAUUGUCAUAAGGUUCCAUGACUUUGUCCACACAGGGCAUCUGAACACACAAAAUACAUUUGGAUGAUUUUCAUUCCAUUUUGGGUGUUUUAUUUAACUUUUGUACACAUGUGGUGUUCCCGGUCAAAAAUGGCCGGUCAUUAGAAAUGAAUGGGUGAGACUGCAAUUAGUGU
rnacentral:lncRNA from 1 species